rnacentral:rRNA from 1 species
AUGACAGAAAUGCGACUAUUCACCAAUCAGCUCUCUGGCCCUUUGCCUUUGACACUCUCCAACCUUACCAAUUUGGUCCUGGUUUUGCUGGCUGACAACCAGCUGACAGGACACUUGCCAGAUUUGUGCCAAAGUAAAAAGCUACAAGAUUUCCAAAUUUUUGAUAACAAUCUGGAUGGUCCUGUCCCAAAAGGUUUGAGGGAUUGCAGUUCACUAAUAUCCCUUGGAAUUGACAAAAAUCAGAUCGAGGGAGACAUAACUAAAUCAUUUGGGGUGUAUCCGCAUCUCAAUGACAUUAGUUUAUCUUCAAACAAAUUUGUAGGGCGGCUCUCGCCAAAAUGGGGCUUGUGUCAAAACUUGACAAGUAUUGAUUUUGGACACAACAUGAUAGAAGGCAGUAUACCAUCUGAUCUUGGGGAGCUAAAAAAUCUUGCAAUUCUCGAUAUGCGUUUCAAUAGGUUGACUAGUGAAAUACCACCGGAAAUUGGCAAGUUAAGCAGCCUCUAUUGGAUGGAUUUAGGAAGCAAUCGACUAUCUGGCCAGAUCCCUAAGCAAAUCGGCCAACUUAGUAAUCUUGAGAUUCUUGAUUUCUCAAGCAACCUGUUAAGUGGUAAAAUACCAGAAGAGAUCGGUAAUUGUUUGAAACUGCAGUCAUUACAUAUGAAUAACAACAGCCUUAGUGAAAGUCUUCCUGGUAGUUUGGGCCAUUUAGCUUCCCUUCAAAGCAUGCUUGAUCUUAGUAUGAAUAGUCUCAGUGGACCGAUACCAUCGGAACUCAGCAAACUUGAGAUGCUGAUGUUUGUGAACUUCUCACACAAUCAAUUCAGUGGUGGCAUCCCCAUCUCCAUCGCAAGCAUGCAAAGCAUAACAGUAUUUGAUGUAUCAUACAACUUCCUAGAAGGCUCUGUCCCAAAUGGUAUUCACAAUGCAUCAGCUGAAUGGUUUCUCCACAACAAAGGCCUCUGUGGAAACCUUGUUGGCCUGUCUCCUUGUGAUUUGCAACUUGCAGAUCAUAGGCGGAAACAUCAAAAGAUUAUACUACCAGUGGGUCUUCCUAUGCUUGUCGCUACUAUUUCAAUAGUAGCAGGUGUAGUUGCCCUUUUGAUCUGUCGCAAGAAAGCAUCUAAAAGUACUGAUGAUGUGAGCAAAGGGGGUGUUUUCUCUGUAUGGAGCUUUGAUGGCAGAAUGGCAUUUGAGGACAUUAUGAAUGCAACUGAAAAUUUUGAUGAGAAGCACUGCAUUGGAGAAGGAUCAUACGGUAGUGUUUAUAAGGCAGAACUUCAAGAUGAACAAGUGGUUGCUGUAAAGAAACUCCAUGCAGGCGAUGAGGAGGCACAUGAUGAAGAAAUAUUCCAGCAUGAGAUUGAAAUGUUAACAAAAGUUCGCCAACGCAGCAUCGUCAAGUUGUAUGGCUAUUGUUCUCAUCCACGGUACAGGUUCCUUGUAUGCCAAUUCAUAGAGAGAGGAAAUCUAGCUUCUAUCUUAAGCAAUGAAGAACUAGCAUCCCAGUUCCGCUGGGAAAGGAGGAUAGCUCUAAUAAGAGAUGUGGCUCAAGCCAUCACUUACCUCCAUCAUGAUGUUCACCCACCCAUAAUUCAUAGGGACAUCACAAGCAGAAACAUCUUAUUAGAUGUUGACUACAAAGCAUUUGUCUCGGAUUUUGGUAUUGCAAGAAUGUUAAAACCCGAUUCAUCGAAUUGGAGCGCACUAGCGGGGACCUAUGGCUACAUUGCACCUGAAUGUUCAUACACUUCUCUAGUCACGGAGAAAUGUGAUGUAUAUAGCUUUGGUAUUGUGGUGCUUGAGGUGUUGAUGGGCAAACACCCUGGAGAUUUGCAGGCUUUUCAUUCUUCACUCGAGGACCAGUUUCUACUGGAAGAAAUUUUGGACGAACGACUUCCACAACCCGAAGCUGGGGAGGAAGAAGUGAGACGGUGCAUCUCUGUGGCAUUUGAGUGCCUAACUCCUUCACCCAAAGAAAGGCCAACUAUGCUGAAAGUUUAUCGAGAUCUUUCCAUCUGA